rnacentral:rRNA from 1 species
AACGAACGCUGGCGGCAGGCCUAACACAUGCAAGUCGAACGCCCCGCAAGGGGAGUGGCAGACGGGUGAGUAACACGUGGGAACCUUCCCAACAGUACGGAAUAGCCCAGGGAAACUUGGAGUAAUACCGUAUAUUCCCGAGAGGGGAAAGAUUUAUCGCUGUUGGAUGGGCCCGCGUCGGAUUAGCUAGUUGGUGAGGUAACGGCUCACCAAGGCGACGAUCCGUAGCUGGUUUGAGAGAAUGACCAGCCACACUGGGACUGAGACACGGCCCAGACUCCUACGGGAGGCAGCAGUGGGGAAUCUUGGACAAUGGGCGCAAGCCUGAUCCAGCCAUGCCGCGUGAGUGACGAAGGCCUUAGGGUUGUAAAGCUCUUUUACCGGGGACGAUAAUGACGGUACCCGGAGAAUAAGUCCCGGCUAACUUCGUGCCAGCAGCCGCGGUAAGGUGCGCGAGU